UGCCUGGUAGCGGGGGAUAACUAUUGGAAACGAUAGCUAAUACCGCAUAACAGUAGAUAUCGCAUGAUAGCUGCUUGAAAGGUGCAAAUGCACCACUACCAGAUGGACCUGCGUUGUAUUAGCUAGUUGGUGAGGUAACGGCUCACCAAGGCAACGAUACAUAGCCGACCUGAGAGGGUGAUCGGCCACACUGGGACUGAGACACGGCCCAG
rnacentral:rRNA from 1 species